GAUGAACGCUGGCGGCGUGCUUAACACAUGCAAGUCGAGCGAAGCACCUUGACGGAUUUCUUCGGAUUGAAGCCUUGGUGACUGAGCGGCGGACGGGUGAAUAACGCGUGGGUAACCUGCCUCAUACAGGGGGAUAACAGUUGGAAACGACUGCUAAUACCGCAUAAGCGCACAGUACCGCAUGGUACGGUGUGAAAAACUCCGGUGGUAUGAGAUGGACCCGCGUCUGAUUAGCUAGUUGGUGAGGUAACGGCCCACCAAGGCGACGAUCAGUAGCCGACCUGAGAGGGUGACCGGCCACAGUGGGACGGAGACACGGCCCAGACUCCUACGGGAGGCAGCAGUGGGGGAUAUUGCACAAUGGAGGAAACUCUGAUGCAGCGACGCCGCGUGAGUGAAGAAGUAUUUCGGUAUGUAAAGCUCUAUCAGCAGGGAAGAAAAUGACGGUACCUGACUAAGAAGCCCCGGCUAACUACGUGCCAGCCGCCGCGGUAAUAC
rnacentral:rRNA from 1 species